GACGAACGCUGGCGGCAUGCCUAACACAUGCAAGUCGAACGAGACCUUCGGGUCUAGUGGCGCACGGGUUCGUAACGCGUGGGAAUCUGCCCUUCGGUUGGGAAUAACUGAGAGAAAUUUCAGCUAAUACCUUAUAAUGUCUUCGGACCAAAGAUUUAUCGACGAGGGAUGAGCCCGCGUAGGAUUAGGUAGUUGGUGGGGUAAUGGCCUACCAAGCCGAGGAUCCUUAGCUGGUCUGAGAGGCUGAUCAGCCACACUGGGACUGAGACACGGCCCAGACUCCUACGGGAGGGAGGAGUGGGGAAUAUUGGAAAGUGGGCGAAAGCAUGAUCGAGCAAUGCCGGGUGAGUGAUGAAGGCCUUAGGGUUGUAAAGCUCUUUUAACCGGGAUGAUAAUGACAGUACCGGGAGAAUAAGCCCCGGCUAACUCCGUG
rnacentral:rRNA from 1 species